rnacentral:rRNA from 1 species
ACCUUUUGUAUAAUGGGUCAGCGAGUUACUUUCAGUGGCGAGGUUAACUGAAUAAGGGAGCCGUAGAGAAAUCGAGUCUGAAUAGGGCGAUAGUCGCUGGGAGUAGACCCGAAACCGGGCGAUCUAGCCAUGUGCAGGAUGAAGGUUGGGUAACACCAACUGGAGGUCCGAACCGGGUAAUGUUGAAAAAUUAUCGGAUGACGUGUGGCUAGGAGUGAAAGGCUAAUCAAGCCCGGAGAUAGCUGGUUCUCCCCGAAAGCUAUUUAGGUAGCGCCUCGUGAAUGAUUACUGGGGGUAGAGCACUGUUUCGGCUAGGGGGCUGUCAUGGCUUACCAAACCGAUGCAAACUCCGAAUACCGGCUAAUUGGAUCACGGGAGACACACGGCGGGUGCUAACGUCCGUCGUGGAGAGGGAAACAACCCAGACCGCCAGCUAAGGUCCCCAAGUACUAGUUAAGUGGGAAACGAUGUGGGAAGGCAUAGACAGCCAGGAGGUUGGCUUAGAAGCAGCCACCCUUUAAAGAAAGCGUAAUAGCUCACUGGUCGAGUCGGCCUGCGCGGAAGAUGUAACGGGGCUAAAACUAGUCACCGAAGCUGCGGAUGUGCGCGAAGGCGCACGUGGUAGGGGAGCGUUCUGUAGGCUGAUGAAGGUGCAUUGAGAAGUGUGCUGGAGGUAUCAGAAGUGCGAAUGCUGACAUGAGUAACGAUAAUGUGGGUGAAAAGCCCACACGCCGGAAGUCCCAGGUUUCCUGCACGACGUUAAUCGGAGCAGGGUGAGUCGGCCCCUAAGGCGAGGCUGAAGAGCGUAGUCGAUGGGAACCAGGUUAAUAUUCCUGGACUUUUUAUAAGUGGUGAAGUGGGGACGAAGAAGGCUAGGUGAGCCAGGCGUUGGUUGUCCUGGUACUUGCAUGUAGGGGGGAAGACUUGGCAAAUCCGGUUUUCCAUAACUCUGA